AUUCUGGCUCCUAAGAGCUGGACCUGCUCACCCUGCCCUCUCCUCCUAGGGGCCAGGAGACCAUCUCUUAGUAAGUGAAAGGGAUGCAGUGGUCCUGGGGGAUGGCGGCAGUGGGAUGGACCGCUGAUGUUACCUCCACUGUCAUAAGCAAGGAAACUAAGCUCUGAGGAACCACCCAGCUACUGAGAGGUGGAGCCAGGAUUUGAACCAUUCAGGACCCUGGCAGAGAAGGCUGCCGGGGGGCCGGCCACCACCGUG
rnacentral:lncRNA from 1 species